UCAACUCUCAUUAAGCCAAGUUCCUGGAGGAGAUCACUCAGCUCGUCAUGCUAGAGCACUUUUUCAAUGUGCUCCCCAACGAGAAGGCGACGAUGCAUUCGUAUGUCAAUCCAUAUCAACUUUCGAUGCUAUUGACUGCGCCUACCAUGUUGACCACUGGUAACGGGGAAUCAUGAUUCGAUUCUGUACAGGAACCCUGACAAACAGCUGCCACAUGCAAGGAAGGCAGCAGGCGCGCAAAUGACCCACUCCCGACGCGGGAAGGUAGUGAUGACAAAUAACAAUACGGGACUCUUUAGAGGCCCUGUAGUUGUAAUGAGUCCACUUUUUACUCUGAUCAAUUGGAGGUCAAGUCUGGUGCAGAGCCACUGACCCGUGCGUUCUGCAGCUAAAACUCCACUA